GAAUAUAUUAUGAAAUCAAUGUGAACUGUGUAGGAAUGGAUGGUAUUUUGACUGCAGUUGUUCAAGGUGUGCAGAUUCUACAGAGCUUAACACGUAUAUUGGAGGCAUACAGUGUAAAAGAAAUUCUUGCUCCGGAGUUCUUCUACCCCAGUAUCCUCUACAAUUCAACUCUGACUAUCAGUGUACUGGAUGUAUGAAACUGGAAAAUUGGAAUGUAAUUGAUGAAGUUUUACAAGAACUUGAAUCUUCUCUGCAAAUCACAGACAAGUCAUCCAUAGAUGGAUUAGAAAAGCUAUUAGAUAACUGUCUCCAAAUUCUGCAUCCAUCCCAUGCUAUUAUUAUAGGUAAUACUAUUAGUUUUACUUACUCACAAAUACUACAUUGGAUAACUUAUAUACUUUAAAUAGAUGAUCUUUUUUGAGUAUUUUCUUGAGUAAUUUCAGUUUUUAAUCUUUUCUGAGUAUUUUCUUGAUUUUUUUAGUUGGGAUUUCCUUGAUAAAUCACAUUAAAUACAAAAAUUGUGAUAGCUAAGUAUAGUAAUAUGAUAGCUAAGCUAAUUGAUAAGUAUUAAAGUUAGCGAUGGUGCAUACAUCCUCUCAUAUAUUUUAACUUUUAAAAAAUCUCUUCUUCCUAUUCAGUAGUUUAUGGGUCUAAUUGUAGUUUUGGAUCAAAGCAUACUGCUGAA